UACGUAGGGUGCAAGCGUUGUCCGGAAUCAUUGGGCGUAAAGCGCGUGUAGGCGGUCCGGUAAGUCCGCUGUGAAAGUCGGGGGCUCAACCCUCGAAUGCCGGUGGAUACUGUCGGGCUAGAGUGCGGAAGAGGCGAGUGGAAUUCCUGGUGUAGCGGUGAAAUGCGUAGAUAUCAGGAGGAACACCGGUGGCGAAGGCGCACACCUGGCCCGAUACUGACGCUGAGGCGCGAAAGCUAGGGGAGCGAACGGG
rnacentral:rRNA from 1 species